UUUAAAGUCAAUUCUGCCCUAUGAAUAUUUAAAUGGCUGCAGUAUUUUGACUGUACAAAGGUAGCAUAAUCAUUUGUUUCUUAAUUAGAAGCUGGAAUGAAGGAUUUGAUGAGAAAAUAACUGUCUCAAUUUUAAAUAUAAAAUUUUAUUUUUAAGUUAAAAAGCUUAAAUAAUUUAAAAAGACGAGAAGACCCUUUAGAGUUUUAUAAAUAAUUUUUAUUUUUUUAUUUAGGAUUUUAUUAUAUAAUAAAUAAAUUAAUUAUUUAUUUUAUUGGGGUGAUAGAAAAAUUUAAAUAACUUUUUAUUAAUUAAACAUUAAUUUAUGAAUAAAUGAUCCUAAAUUUUAGAUUAUAAGAUUAAAUUACCUUAGGGAUAACAGCGUAAUUUUUUUUGAAAGUUCUUAUUGAAAAAAGAGAUUGCGACCUCGAUGUUGGAUUAAAAUUUAAUUUAGGUGUAGAAGCUUGAAUUUUUAGUCUGUUCGACUAUUAAAAUUUUACA
rnacentral:rRNA from 1 species